rnacentral:rRNA from 1 species
UACGAAGGGUGCAAACGUUGCUCGGAAUUAUUGGGCGUAAAGCGCACGUAGGCGGCUUGGCAAGUCGGAUGUGAAAUCCCUCGGCUCAACCAAGGAAGUGCAUCCGAAACUGCUGAGCUUGAGUACUUAAGAGGAUCGCGGAAUUCCCGGUGUAGAGGUGAAAUUCGUAGAUAUCGGGAGGAACACCAGUGGCGAAGGCGGGUCUCUGGACAGUUCCUGACACUGAGACACGAAGGCCAGGGAGCAAACGGG